rnacentral:rRNA from 1 species
GACGAACGCUGGCGGCGUGCUUAACACAUGCAAGUCGAGCGGUAAGGCCCUUUCGGGGGUACACGAGCGGCGAACUGGUGAGUAACACGUGGGUGACCUGCCCUCAGCUCUGGGAUAAGCCUGGGAAACCGGGUCUAAUACUGGAUAUGACUCCAUGACGCAUGUUGUGGGGUGGAAAGCCUUGUGCGGCUGAGGAUGGGCCCGCGGCCUAUCAGCUUGUUGGUGGGGUGAUGGCCUACCAAGGCGACGACGGGUAGCCGGCCUGAGAGGGCGACCGGCCACACUGGGACUGAGACACGGCCCAGACU